AGCGGGGUAGGGUAGCAUGGAGAUAGCUUCUUCUUGGAGGCUACCAUAAUGCCCGCUGGGCUCAUAACCCAGAGAUCCGUGGUUCAAAUCCACGCCCCGCUA
rnacentral:tRNA from 1 species